UGGGGAAUAUUGGACAAUGGGCGAAAGCCUGAUCCAGCCAUGCCGCGUGUGUGAAGAAGGUCUUCGGAUUGUAAAGCACUUUAAGUUGGGAGGAAGGGUUGUAGAUUAAUACUCUGCAAUUUUGACGUUACCGACAGAAUAAGCACCGGCUAACUCUGUGCCAGCAGCCGCGGUAAUACAGAGGGUGCAAGCGUUAAUCGGAAUUACUGGGCGUAAAGCGCGCGUAGGUGGUUAGUUAAGUUGGAUGUGAAAUCCCCGGGCUCAACCUGGGAACUGCAUUCAAAACUGAAUGACUAGAGUAUGGUAGAGGGUGGUGGAAUUUCCUGUGUAGCGGUGAAAUGCGUAGAUAUAGGAAGGAACACCAGUGGCGAAGGCGACCACCUGGACUGAUACUGACACUGAGGUGCGAAAGCGUGGGGAGCAAACA
rnacentral:rRNA from 1 species